rfam:Haemonchus contortus, ISE/inbred ISE, WGS project CAVP01000000 data, contig: Hcontortus_32738
ACUUGGAGCAAGGAUGGGGUUAGGUGCAUUCGAGUAUGUCCUCGGGUAGUCGGAUAUUCGAGUCCCUGCUCCCAGCCAACCUAGACA